GGCUUCCUUCCAUCCAGGACCUGAGGAUCACAGAGAGGGAGAUGGAGUCUCUACUUCAUGACAACCCUGGUGGUGGGUUCAGAGAGCUGCCCACCUCACAGGAGUUUGUAUGUGCCAAGGUGACAGCAAUGACCAGGCCCUGCCAGCCACCAUCCCUGGGAACUUGAGUGGCCCAGAGUGUCCUGGAAAGAACAUAGCUGCUUUCUGAAAGGGUGAUGCUAUAAAGUUUUGUCAGACCCUCGGAAUCUCAGUCUGUAAAAUGGGAAUAACACCUAUUGCACAGCACACUUCUGGAUGUUUUUAAUGGACUGAUGCUCAGUGAACGUUGGGCUUUACUUACCACCCUACCUCUGCAAUCUCUGGGUCCUACCUCCAAAAUCUCUCUGAUCUCACACUCGUUCUCCAGCCGC